AAAAUUGCCAACUACAGCUCUCAUCUUAGUUUUUAUGACAUUCAAUCUAUAAUAAUCACACGUGCAAUUCUACAUUCAAAGCCGUGUGUUGUUACCUAUUGUUCUUCACAUAACUGAAAGAGCUGUAGCUGUGACAAACUGCAUAUAUUGCAAAAAAAGGAAGCAACACAACUUUCAACAAUGUUAAAAGGGCAUUUCAUUUAUUCAGG
rnacentral:misc_RNA from 1 species